UGGGGAAUAUUGGACAAUGGGGGCAACCCUGAUCCAGCAAUGCCGCGUGAGUGAAGAAGGCCUUCGGGUUGUAAAGCUCUUUUAUCAGGGACGAUAAUGACGGUAUCUGAGGAAUAAGCUCCGGCUAACUUCGUGCCAGCAGCCGCGGUAAUACGAAGGGAGCUAGCGUUGUUCGGAAUUACUGGGCGUAAAGGGCGCGUAGGCGGUAAGAUAAGUCAGAUGUGUAAGCCUUGGGCUUAACCUGAGAACUGCAUUUGAUACUGUCUAACUAGAGGACGAGAGAAGAAAGUGGGAUUACGAGUGUAGUGGUGAAAGUCGUAGUUAUUCGUAAGACCGCCAGUGGAGAAGGCCACUUUCUGGCUCAUUUCUGACGCUAAGGCGCGAAGGCGUGGGGAGCAAGCA
rnacentral:rRNA from 1 species